rnacentral:rRNA from 1 species
GAUGAACGCUGGCGGCGUGCCUAAUACAUGCAAGUCGAGCGAACGGACGAGAAGCUUGCUUCUCUGAUGUUAGCGGCGGACGGGUGAGUAACACGUGGAUAACCUACCUAUAAGACUAGGAUAACUUCGGGAAACCGGAGCUAAUACCGGAUGAUAUUUUGAACCGCAUGGUUCAAAAGUGAAAGACGGUCUUGCUGUCACUUAUAGAUGGAUCCGCGCUGCAUUAGCUAGUUGGUAAGGUAACGGCUUACCAAGGCAACGAUGCGUAGCCGACCUGAGAGGGUGAUCGGCCACACUGGAACUGAGACACGGUCCAGACUCCUACGGGAGGCAGCAGUAGGGAAUCUUCCGCAAUGGGCGAAAGCCUGACGGAGCAACGCCGCGUGAGUGAUGAAGGUCUUCGGAUCGUAAAACUCUGUUAUUAGGGAAGAACAUAUGUGUAAGUAACUGUGCACAUCUUGACGGUACCUAAUCAGAAAGCCACGGCUAACUACGUG